rnacentral:lncRNA from 1 species
UCCAGGUAGCCUCAUUUUUACCCACCAGGCGCCUGGACUAGGUUUCUAUCAGUUAAAAAGAGAUAUCAAUGUUGAAACUACAAAAGCAAGUAUCUGGUUGUGGUGUUUUAAAAUCCCUGCUCUCAUGGUACUUUUUUAAGAAGAAAAAUCAACAGUCGGCAGUCAAAUACUAGUUAAAUGCUUCAACCCUACAAAUUCUAAUGACAGGAUUGAAAGUCAGCUUGAAUUUUCUAUGUUUAGUUGCUGCAAGUGUUAAGAAAACUUACCAAAAUUUAGGAAAUUUUACACAAACUGGGCUUUGUAAUGAGUAAUUUCUCUUCUCUUUCUUUCCAGUCCACACCUGGUCGUAAGAGAGGAAGAAAGGCACUAAAAAUCAAACGCUCGAAUCACCUGAGCCAGUUCCUGAUAGUUUCACCACUUAUCGCUCCAGUGCUGAAAUGCCUGCGGAAACAGACGACGACUCACAUUCGGAUGAAAACGAGUCAAGCUGUUCCGAUUGCUCCUCUCAAGACAGUGAUGACUCCUCCUCCACCUGUUCAUCCAGCGACAGUGUUGAAUGUAGUAGCACCAGUGGCGAACUAUCACAACUACAGCUAGUUUGGGCGAAAUGUAGAGGUUAUCCUGGUACCCUGCCUUGGUAAGUCCAUUGAUGUUAAAACUUUAUUAUGUGUAUCAUGCGUGCCUCUUCUAGGCUCUGGAUUGAAACUCAUUGUCCUUUACAAAAUGUUUCUGUAUGUUCAAGCUUUAUUGGUAAAAUAUGAAAUGCUCUAGAAGGAAGCGGGUCUGAGCCUACGUUACUGACAGGUUGGGAGUGAAUAAAGGAAUCUGAUCUGCAGUGGUGCGUACUUUAUGAUCGGCCCCAUUUGUUGUUUAAUUUUUAUUUUGUCCAAGUUUUACCUGUUUUUUUUUUUUUUUUUUUUUUUUUUUAAAUCUUAACCAUGUAACCGAUUUUAUACUAAGAUAUGCAAUAAUAUGACCAAAAAAGGGAGGACAAAGGAUUUCUAAGUUCCUGGGCAAAUCAAACCGCCUGAAUAUCUAAAUUAGAUAGCAUUCCUAUUGUUCUUAUCAUUGGGGCAUUUUGAUGGGUGAGAAUGCUAGCUCAUUAGCUAAUCUAAAGAUCUUGCAACUUCAAAAUAUAUGUAUUUCUAUUGAAGAAAGGUGAAGCACGACGGUUCAAUGGUGGCACGGAAAGGUGGUUCUACUAUUUGAACACAAACUACUCUUUAGUUAUUUGCAGCUCAUACAUAUGUAAUCGAAAUAUGCAGUAAAGUACUCCUAGUAACACAGUCAAGACACUGAGUUUUGAGACUAAUUUUGUAAUGGACAACUGUCUAAUUUUUUUUUGUGAUGUUUGAUGAGGGCUCCUUUAGAAGUACCUACAUUCAGUUGUAGAUAAGUUUCACAGUGUAGAUGCAUUAUGAUAGAAAAGUCAAGAGAGAUUUUAAUACUGCUGGUUAGGAACUGAAUUCAUUUCAACUGUGCGUAACAUACAACAGUAAUCAAGCAAUUUUUUCUUUGAUUCUCCCUGUAAUAAUUUCUUUGCUAAAAUCUGUCUUUUAUUUUGCAGACGAUCGAUCCAAACAUGCCUCGCGACUAUGUUCAUCACGGCGUUCCAAUUCCUUCACCCCUCUAGAUGUACUGGAGCUAGAGAAGACACACUCAGAGCCAGUCUUUUUGAUCCUAUUCUUUGACACCAAAAGAACUUGGUAUGUAUUUGUUUACCUUUCCCCUAUCCAGUUGUCUUGGGAAAGUCAUUGAUUAAAAAGUGCAGACCCAAUGAGGCACUUAAAAAAACACAACUUUCUUUCUAACAUUCUAACAUUCUUUUAUAACUUUUGAUUAAGUUUUUCGGUGAUGCUGGUUUUUUUAAGAUCUUGCUUUCCAUCCCAUUCUUCAGCAGACACUUUGUGUUUUGAUAAGGCUUGCUUUGGGACAAUAAUGAACCUCUUAUAACACAAAUUUGAAGGUACAACACAGACAUCUAGGUAUUUUUUAAUAACAACCAAAAAGUCAUGGAAAUUGACCUAAACAUAGAUCCCUGAAAGUAACUAAUAAGUAUUUGUAAAGGGUGACAGCUUUCAAUCAAAAUGUAUUUUUAUGAUGAAAAUCGGUUUUCUUGUCUUUUUCGUUUCAAAAUUUUCUCUCUGUUCGUUUUUUUUUUCUCUCUCUCUCCCCUCCUCAAAGCCUGUCUCUUUAUUUUAAUUCUAUUCUAUUCUCUAUUCUAAAUUGUAUUUGAAAAUAUUGUAACUACUACAAGAAUUAUAUGCCUUGUAUCUAUUUACUUAAAUUAAAUUCAGAAAGGUAUUAAGCAACAGAGUAAUGAUAGAUAAUAGAGAAUAUCUAAAAGUACAGGAAUUCUGGAAUUCUCGGUCUCUUGUUUUAAGAAUUUAGGUGUACGAGAAGAUAUAACAUGUUUAAUAUUCUACAAUUCAUAAAUACUUUAAGCCUACAUAUUUUGGAGGAUUUCUUUUCCCGGAUAAAAAUAUCCAGAAGCUGGUGCGCAAUGUGAAGUCUCUCUAUCAUUACUAUUUUUUGCAAUUUCUGCAUUAUUUGUAAAGUUUUGUUUUAUUUUCAGGCAAUGGUUACCUCGAAAUAAACUGGAACUCCUGGGAAUUGAUAAAGAGAUCGACAUAAAGAAACUGACGGAGUGUCGAAAGCAGGCUGACCGCAAAGCGGUGCGGAAAGCUUAUGAAGAUGCUCUAGAGUUCAGAAGUGCAACAACUGCUGUGUUGGCUGAUGAGUCUCCAUCAUAGUAGAAUAAUUUUUGAUACUUUGUACCUAUAGAUAUUUACAAUAUCUCAAUAAGUUGUGAUCUCGUGUGAAUUAUUAUUUCGCAUUUCAAUCCGUCUUUGUACUUUAUUUUUAUUAAUUGUUCUUUAAUAAUCCUUCAUUAGUUUUAUGUUAAUAUCUGCUAUGCUGGGUGAACUUGUUAUUAAUUGAUUCAGCCAGCAUUGUGAACUGGGGGUUAACAAGGGUCUUCUAGCUCUUUUGCUCAAUUUACUUUUCAAUGUGCACUUUUAUUUUUUAUUUUAUAUUCUGUGUUUUAAUGCCGAGUAGAUUGUAUUGCUUACAAUUUUAUCACUUCAUCGUGAAGAUUUUACUAUUUUUGUAAAUCUAUUGUGCUUGCCAGAAAUCAAUUUUAACUUUUAAUUUUUAAAGUCUAUGAGGAAAAGAAAUCUUGCUUUUCCUUCACCAAAUUUUUUCGUUUUUCUGGAAAGAUGUGUUCAGUUUAGAACAGCAUGUUUUUAAAUCGAAGUAAUAUGGUUUGCUACAUUGACCACUUGCUGUUGAGCAAAUUAUGAAUAUGGCUAAAGUCUACAUACCCUCACAAUCCUUCUAAAAUCGUGUCUAUUGCAAAUUAAAAUUAAAUUUUUGAUGUGUGUAAAUACUUUAUUUACCAAGUUUUUCCUUUUUUUUCCUAUUUUAAGACAGUUGUUACACUGUAAAAUCAUGGUAACUAAAAAUAUUUAACUGAUUGAUAGCACACACGGCUCUCCUUUUUUUAUUUUAAAAUUGAUUGGACAGCAUUUACAAGUAGAAUGUAACUUGUUUUUCCUUUUAAAAUUUUUUCAUGGAGUAUUCUGUUUUAAUUAGAGGCCCAUGCUGUAAUGUAAAUAUUAUUGCCCCCGUGCAAAAUUUCUCAUACCACUUUUCAAAGCUACUAAAAAGUGAAAGCAAAUUCCAAUGCUAAAUAUACACACUGAAAAUGGGAUUCAUUAGUGCAUUUGUCAAAUAGUUUUCUGAGAUUUGCAGCAAGUCGCCCAGUUUCCAGCAAUUCAUAAAGUUGAGAAAUAACAGUUCUCAGCUUUUCUGAAAUGUUUGAAUAGAGUUGGUGCAAAUUUGGAUAAGUAGAACGCCAAUUUGAGAAAUUAGGACUGUUGAGUAUAGCAACCGAUGACUCUCAUUUUCAUUUAGAAAUCAGAUUCCUUCAAUUAAAUUAAAAUCGGAAGGGUUAAGGAGAGAGAGGUAGUGAUCUCGUAGUUAGAAAAUCUGCGUAUUCUGAUUUCUUAAUGCUCUGCUCAUGGAUAAAGGCCCAAAACAUGGCAGCUACUAUUGGCAAUGUAUGCACUCACUCAUUUCAAUGGUAAAACUGCAAAAAUGUGUAUUUCGGUUGUUGUGUUUUCAAAAUCUCCACUCUUAUUUAAUUUUUUAAAAGGAAACCAAACCAACAUCAUGGCUUGAAGUUUUCAUAUUAAAUUCUUACUUUAGAGAAGAAAAAUUGCUAUAGUUUUCAAGAAACGACGUUCCCUAGUUUUCUAUGUGGAAAUUAAAGCCUGCAUGACGGGAAGUCUGCUUGGCCGCAAACCGAGAUACGCAUUUCUUAAGUUUUACCAUCAACGUGUAAUUUUUGAAAUGAAUCACUGAAAUUUACAGCACUUCUCCUGAACUAUACAUUCUACUUCCUCAUAAUUAUCAUAGUUUAAGCUCUAAUUUUUUGGUGACCUAAUUUUUUAAAUAAUGAAAUAAUUAUUUACCAGAUUAAAAGUUUGUCCCCUUAAACAAAACUGAAUUCCUUUUCGAUUUUAUGUGGUGGUUUCAGUAAUGUUUCU